rnacentral:rRNA from 1 species
UACGUAGGAUGCAAGCGUUGUCCGGAAUUAUUGGGCGUAAAGAGCGCGCAGGCGGUUUGAGAAGUCAGAUGUGAAAGAGGCCGGCUUAACCGGCAAGGGUCAUUUGAAACUGACAGACUAGAGUACAGCAGAGGAUAACGGAAUUCCCGGUGUAGUGGUGAAAUGCGUAGAGAUCGGAAAGAACACCAACGGCGAAAGCACUCUGCUGGGCCGACACUGACACUGAGAGACGAAAGCUAGGGGGAGCGAAUGGG